rnacentral:misc_RNA from 1 species
AAUUCUCAAUCUUCAGUGUUUUUCUUCUUUUUCUUUAAAUUAAAAAAUGCUGAAGACUUGGAUUUGGAGGUUUAUGCUGGCUCUUGCUAGUCGGCUCCUCUGAAAUGCAUGAGCGUGAUUAUUACGGAUCGCCUUCGAUGUGAUAAUUAUCUGCGUCGUAGUUGUGAAGUAAAUUAAUAUUUGCGCUUAUAAUCGUCCUUGCAUAGGGACAAUUUAUCUUUGA